rnacentral:rRNA from 1 species
AAUGGGCGAAAGCCUGACGGAGCAACGCCGCGUGAAUGAAGAAGGCCUUCGGGUUGUAAAGUUCUGUCUUAUGGGAAGAAUGUCAUCCAUGUGAAUAAUGUGCAUGAAUGACGGUACCAUAGGAGGAAGCUCCGGCUAACUACGUGCCAGCAGCCGCGGUAAUACGUAGGGAGCAAGCGUUGUCCGGAAUUACUGGGCGUAAAGGGCGUGUAGGCGGAUAUUUAAGUCAGGUGUGAAACCUCUGGGCUCAACCUAGAGAUUGCACUUGAAACUGGAUAUCUUGAGUGCAGGAGAGGGAAGUGGAAUUCCUAGUGUAGCGGUGAAAUGCGUAGAUAUUAGGAGGAACACCAGUGGCGAAGGCGGCUUCCUGGCCUGUAACUGACGCUGAGGCGCGAAAGCGUGGGUAGCGAA